AUUGAACGCUGGUGGCAGGCCUAACACAUGCAAGUCGAGCGGAUGAAGGGAGCUUGCUCCUGGAUUCAGCGGCGGACGGGUGAGUAAUGCCUAGGAAUCUGCCUGGUAGUGGGGGAUAACGUCCGGAAACGGGCGCUAAUACCGCAUACGUCCUGAGGGAGAAAGUGGGGGAUCUUCGGACCUCACGCUAUCAGAUGAGCCUAGGUCGGAUUAGCUAGUUGGUGGGGUAAAGGCCUACCAAGGCGACGAUCCGUAACUGGUCUGAGAGGAUGAUCAGUCACACUGGAACUGAGACACGGUCCAGACUCCUACGGGAGGCAGCAGUGGGGAAUAUUGGACAAUGGGCGAAAGCCUGAUCCAGCCAUGCCGCGUGUGUGAAGAAGGUCUUCGGAUUGUAAAGCACUUUAAGUUGGGAGGAAGGGCAGUAAGUUAAUACCUUGCUGUUUCGACGUUACCAACAGAAUAAGCACCGGCUAACUUCGUG
rnacentral:rRNA from 1 species